rnacentral:lncRNA from 1 species
UUUUCACCAGAACUUUCCCCUUCAUCCUCCAUCUCCUCUUUCAAGUCUCAGAUUCUGUUUUUGGACAACACAAACUCAUCCCCUGCCACCAACACCACCACACAGAUUUCUGGGUUUGACUCCAGCACCUUGAACCCAAAACAGAAUGAAACUGUGUUAGUGCCACUGCCCCAGUUGGGAAACACGCAUAUCUCAACUCAAAAUUCAAAAGGGUCAUCGAAAAAUCAAAACUUUGAAACCAAAUCCUCACAUGGAAAGAGGUCUCCAGCUCACCAUCAUGAUCACAUCAUGGCAGAGAGAAAGCGCAGGGAGAAGCUCAGCCAGAGCUUCAUUGCUCUCGCAGCACUUG